UGCAUUCAGUUUUACAUGAGCAGAGGGGAAUCAAACCUGAGUAGUUAGACUUUGCAGGCACUUGCCUAAACAGCGGAGCCAUCUCUCCAGCCCGAGUGUCUACUUCUUUUCAGAAACAUUGCCUCUGGUUUUCAAGGUAACCAUCUAAGAUGUUCCACUAGCAUGUUCCUCCAAUAAUGGCAAGUUAACACCAAAGGUCAAAUGACAAUGAACUUGCAGUUCUUCAGAAGUCAGAGCCUGAGGGUAACUGUGGAGAGGGGUGCUCUGCAACCUAGCCUUCCAAUAAUUCGAUUUAGAAGUAUGAGCUUCACAUCAUUGGUCCACAAUAUCAUGGUCAUUCCCUGCGUCAUUCCCGGGAGAAAAACAGCUCUAGGUUACCUAAACACUGUCAACUUGACAAAGACCAAAUAAAUAUUUAUUGACAGCCUAAACAGAUCCAUGAUAAGGCCAAUGUUGAUAGGGACAAAGAAGAAAGUGUCCUACAGUUUUUCACAUGUUGCCAAAAAAAAAUUUUAGAGGACUGAAAAGUAUGGGGAGGAAGACUUAUAUGUUACAUGGGAUCCAUGUCUCCAAUUUGUUUUUUCUUCAGGAAUAUGAGGUUCUGGGAGGUUAAGUUCAGUACUGUUCUGUCUUGAACCCUGCAGGCUGUCUCCUAAGUAAAAGCUAAUCUUGGAAUAAACAAAAUACCUUACAGGUCAUUGCUAAUUUUAACACUUUGACUUAGAAUUGACUCAACCCUGCCCCCUUGCUGAAGAGAUCCUUCGCACAAAGCUUAGUUGGGAACUGAACACUGCAGGCAGGUAGCAGCCAGCAAAGUGAGUGUCCAGAGAAAGGCACUGGUAUUCUCCCUGCCUCCCGGCUUGACUCUGUUCAAAGAUUCUUCCUACCACCCCCUUCUGACUUUUUCUCUUUUCUUCAAAAGAACUGGAGGGGAGAAACUGGUAAGCUGAAGCAACAGUCAUAUCUGGAAUGGAUUGUUUAGAAGGUUCUCUCUUGGAAACCUGAAACGUUCAGUAUCUGGCAGAGCACAACUGCCUGGUCCUCUAAACAAAGCCACACCUGCUUAUUUUACUCAUUCUUGCCUUUGAGGACCCAAGAGAUCUAAACUUAGGAGUUUAUCACCCUUUGCACUCAAACACAAAAUGCUUGGCAUGGUUAUAUCUGGAUAUAUGCUGUCACUAAAGGAUAGAGAGUGUUUUAGAAAUGCCUUUCCACUAUUCUCUCAACAUUUGGGAGCAACUGUCAUCUUCUCUCAAAAAAGCAUAAAGGGCUGGAGAGAUGGCUUAGGAGUUAAGGCACUUGCCUGUGAAGCCUAAGGACUCAUGUUCAACUCUCCAGGUCCCAGUUUAUGCAGUUCAUUUAGAACCCUGAACCUAUCAUCCAUCACAGUAUUGACACCUCUUCACUCAGGCCGGACGUCUCUGCAGAUUGAGGAUCUCCAAAUCCCCCAAGGAUCUGGUUCCCUAAGGAAACU